rnacentral:tRNA from 1 species
GCAUUCGUAGCUCAGAUGGAUAGAGCGUUGCCCUCCGAAGGCAGAGGUCGUUGGUUCGAAUCCAAUCGAGUGCACCA